rnacentral:lncRNA from 1 species
GGUAAUGGAGUGACUUUAUAGUUUGCUACUAUAAGAUUUUUAUUUACCAAUGAAGAAAAAUAUAUAUUCCAUGAACAGCAAAGUUUGCACCAUAAAUGAUAUUCAAUCAAUUUUCCAUGUAAAAGGAUAUUCAAACACUAUUUUAAUGAAAUGAAUGAUCACGUGAAGAUGAUCUACUUUAGCGAGUAUAAGGUUAGCUCGGCAGUUGAGGUGGGGGAGUUAGGGAUGGAUAUACGGAGGUCGAGGGUUCGAUCACCACCCCCAAAUAAAUACUAACUAUAAAAAACAUUUUUCUUUCAAAAAUAAUAUAUGAUCUACUUAUGUUGAAUUGGGGGCCUAACUCAUCCUUACAAAACCGGCUUGUAAGGUGAGGAUUGCCUCCUCUUUAUAAACUCUUCUCAAGAGUCUUGUCUAUCCGAUGUGGGACUUGGGUUUUUCCCAAUACACCCCCCUCACGCCCAGCACUCUUUGGGCUUGGUGCGUGAAUAGGUUUAGGCGGCCCUUGAAUUCGACAAGCUCUGAUACCAUGUUGAAAUUGGGGGCCUAACUCAUCCUUACAAAACCGGCUUGUAAGGUGAGGAUUGCCUCCUCUUUAUAAACUUUUCUCAAGAGUCUUGUCUAUAAUGUGGGACUUGGG